rnacentral:rRNA from 1 species
UUGACCUCAAAUCGGGUGAGACUACCCGCUGAACUUAAGCAUAUCAUAA